CAGCACACCAUUGAGGUUGUCAAGCGUGCGGACUACCCUUUCCCAGCCCCCCUGGAAGAAGGAAUCUCACUGGACAUCUAUUCAACCUUCAUAGAGUCGCUGCCACCAUCGGAGACAGAACUGAAGGUGAUGGAUCAAGAGCAAGGUCCUCAGGAGUCCCUGCUGGAGAGUGAAAUGGCAGAGGUGGAUCCUUUACUUGGCUUCACUAUUGAUGAUGUAAAGUCAGCACUGGCUCGAGUGACAGAUGAGGUUCUGAUCAACAUUCAGAACGAGAUAAACGAAAAACUGCAUGUACAGGAAGAAGCCUUUAAUGCGCGGAUAGAGAAAUUGAAAAAGGCCUGAGGACUCAGUGCGAGCAAAGCAAUGCUGAACUUCAGAGAAACCAACAAAACCGGCCAGAUAAUGGAGUCUCUUGAGGGCUCUGUCACCUCCAUGCAGCUGUGAAAGAAGAACCCACUUUUCAUUACCCAGACUGAUUAAGCGGCUGGUUGUCCAGCCUCUCCCGUCCCACGCCCACCCCUGAGCCUGCAGUGCCAAGUGCAACAGCGCUGUUUUGUGUGCAAGAAUUUGGAGAAUUAGAUAUGAAAAUACAAUUAUUGUUGAGAUGGCCCUAUGGCAUUUGACUAAUAAAUACUAUUCCUCUUCCAUAGGAAUGAAACUGGCACUUGGAAAUAACCAAAAAAA